rnacentral:rRNA from 1 species
CCUACGGGUGGCAGCAGUGGGGAAUAUUGCACAAUGGGGGAAACCCUGAUGCAGCAACGCCGCGUGGGUGAAGGAGCGUUUCGGCGCGUAAAGCCCUGUCAGCGGGGAAGAAGAAAGACGGUACCUCUUGAAUAAGCCACGGCUAACUACGUGCCAGCAGCCGCGGUAAUACGUAGGUGGCAAGCGUUGUCCGGAUUUACUGGGUGUAAAGGGCGUGCAGCCGGGAAGACAAGUCAGAUGUGAAAUCCCGCGGCUCAACCGCGGAACUGCAUUUGAAACUGUUUUUCUUGAGUACCGGAGAGGGCAUCGGAAUUCCCUGUGUAGCGGUGAAAUGCGUAGAUAUAAGGAAGAACACCAGUGGCGAAGGCGGAUGACUGGACGGCAACUGACGGUGAGGCGCGAAAGCGUGGGGAGCAAACAGGAUUAGAUACCCGAGUAGUC